rnacentral:rRNA from 1 species
UCCCUAGGGUGAACCUGCGGAAGGAUCAUUAGUGAAAAAAAAGGGUGUCCAAAUUAACUUGGAACCCCACCUUCUCACAUCUAACCCUGUGCAUCUGUAUUUAAAGGCGAGCAAAUUUCGAAAUGUGAGCCAUUUCACUUUAUAAACACUAGUCUAUGAAAGUAAAAAUUUUAUAACAAAAAAAACUUUCAACAACGGAUCUCUUGGCUCUCGCAUCGAUGAAGAACGCAGCGAAAAGCGAUACGUAAAGUGAAAUGCAGAAAUCAGUGAAACAUCGAAACUUUGAACGCAUCUUGCGCUCUCUGGUAUUCCCGAGAGCAUGUCUGUUUGAGUGUCAUGAAAUCUUCAACCCAACUGUUUCUUGUAAACAGCUGGUGUUUGGAUUCUGAGCGCUGCUGGCUUCGUGCCUAGCUCGUUCGUAAAACAUCAGCAUCCCUAAAACAAGUUUGGAUUGACUUGGCGUAAAAGACUAUUCGCUAAGGAUUCAAAGUUCUGCAUUGAGCCAACUUAGUUAAGGAAGCUUCUAAAUGAAAAGUCUACCUUUAGAUUAGAUCUCAAAACAGGCAGGAUUACCCCCUGAACUUAAGCAUAUCAAAAGCGGAGGA